GACGAACGCUGGCGGCGUGCUUAACACAUGCAAGUCGAACGGAAAGGCCCUGCCUUUGUGGGGUGCUCGAGUGGCGAACGGGUGAGUAACACGUGAGUAACCUGCCCUUGACUUUGGGAUAACUUCAGGAAACUGGGGCUAAUACCGGAUAGGAGCUCCUGCUGCAUGGUGGGGGUUGGAAAGUUUCGGCGGUUGGGGAUGGACUCGCGGCUUAUCAGCUUGUUGGUGGGGUAGUGGCUUACCAAGGCUUUGACGGGUAGCCGGCCUGAGAGGGUGACCGGCCACAUUGGGACUGAGAUACGGCCCAGACUCCUACGGGAGGCAGCAGUGGGGAAUAUUGAACAAUGGGCGGAAGCCUGAUGCAGCAACGCCGCGUGCGGGAUGACGGCCUUCGGGUUGUAAACCGCUUUCGCCUGUGACGAAGCGUGAGUGACGGUAAUGGGUAAAGAAGCACCGGCUAACUACGUG
rnacentral:rRNA from 1 species